GGCAUGGUUGCUUAGUGGUUAGCACGUUUGCCUCGCACCUCCAGGGUUGGGGGAUCGAUUCCUGCCUCUGCCC